CAGUGCUCUUAACUGCUGAGACAACUCUCUAGUCCCACCAUGAUCCUUCUUAUGGCCUGGCCCCAUCUCUCUGUUCAACCCUGUCUCUUGAUCCUUCCCUAUGCAUACCCUGUCGAUAACCACUGCUUACCCACAUCUUCAGGCCUUGUAAAAGCCAUAACCUUGUUACCUGAGACAUCAACCAUAUCUGAGAUGCCCUUGUCUCUUCUUCCUGCUUAGCAAACCCCUGCUUACUCUUUGAUACCCAGAUCAAAUGUCUCCAGCCUGACCUCUUUUAUCCAGGCCCUUCCUGCUGGCCGUUGGACACCAUCUACAGCUCUGGGGAGCCCUUUUUUACACUAUUGUUUGGUUUUACUUUUCUGUCUGUUUUCACUGGACUAUAAACUCCACAUAAGCAUGAACAAAGCUUUCUUCUGUCUCCCCAGAGCCUACCUCAGUAUCUAGAAUACUAUUAGGGAUGUUUAAUGACUGUACAAAUAGACCCCAGUCUAAAAUCUUCCUGUGAAAGGCCGGGUCUCCUUAAAGAGAUAGGAUCAACUUCCAAGGAAUCUUUAGGAGACUGGAGGCUUCAGAUGAAAAAAGAAGCCCCUAGUACAGCCCUGGGAGCCCACAGGCUAAGGCUAGCCAGUUCUGUCUCUGUCAGUUGUGUGUCCCAGAGCAAGGCAGUCCAGUCCCUUCUCCAGCAUCUCUAGGGCUCCUUUCUGAACAUUGACAAAGCCCUCUGCCAUCCCACGACAGUUCCAGAAGCCUCCUGAGUUCUUGCCUCAUUUCCAUGGAGCCUUCAUUUAACCAAAAGUCUAAUGAGGCAUUUUCCAAAUAAGAACUGGCCUCCCUGGUCAUUCUAUCUUAACACGGGAUCAUGGAUCCUCCAGUGAAAGGGAGCUACUGGGUGAACUUGGGGCUCUUGGGAAAUACACCUUUCCUGUCCCCUCCCCUCUCUCACCGCACAACAGAGGCGAGGGCUGUCAAAACAGCUGGAUCCCAGCAGACAGCAGCGAGGCUGCCCACUCGGAAAGACGCAAUACUGUGCAGCUGCAUUUGGUAAACUCCAGCCCUGCCUCAAGCAUCGAAGAUUCCCAGAAACUCAAUUCUCACCCAAGUUGGAAACGUAAGGAAGAAGAAAGGAGAGCCAUCUGUUUCUGCAUUGGAUACAAAAGAGUCUUCAGCAAAGAAAGCAACCAGGAGGAAGGGGCUUUCCAGGCUUGUCUGGCCACUCAGUUACUUGAAAGGAAGACCUUCAGAAAACUCCAGCUUCCCCCCAUGACUCAGAAAUGCUUGGCUAAUUAUCGUUUGGGGGCAUGAUGUCUGAGGAGGAAAGGCCCCUGGCUGCCUGAAGUCUGCCCAAGGCCAGGCCCCAUUGCUGGAAGCAGGGCUGUCAGUCAGCUGAUGACAUUCUGAGUUCCACCAACAGUGUCAGGGCCCAGGAGAGAAGCUUCCUGCUGGGACUGGGCAGCAGGGCUCAAAACCCACACCCCGGAGGCUGUCAGUCUGCAGCUGGGAUGGACAGCCCCUCUUAGCUUCUCUCCCAGCUUUCGUCGUCAUAAGACCUGUCCAGCCAGGUGGCCAGGCUCUGAAAGGGUGGCUGUCACUCCACUAACGCCCUGGGCUUUGCCUCAGGGAAGAGAGCCUGCUCAUCAAUUACAGAAUAAAUGACACCUCCUCCACUCACUGCCUCUCACCCAGUUCCCCACCGUAUAGACCUCCUUACCUUGGUGAAUAGAAGCAUGAAGAAGGAGGCUUUUAUCAGGUACCAACACCUUUCUACACCCAGGAAUGUGGUCUACACAUUCCCAGAAUCUUGAGGGAAAGGUCCAGGCAGAAUCUAGACACUGACCAGGCCUGAGACCAAGUGCUCGGAGACCCAUUCUGGAUCCCCACGCAGGUUAGAGCUACCUAGGGAAAGCGCGCCCCAUCAGAGCAAACCAUAAAGCUCUGACUUUGUUCUUUGCUCACACUGCACCCAUUUAGUAAAGUCUAUUCCGGGUUUGGGGAUGAAGACAUGGCUCCUCCAGGACCCACCUCUGUUCUGAGCGCUCACUCAGGCGCUCACAACCACUUGCAACUCCAGUUUCAGGAGGACCUAAGGCCUCUGAGGGCACC
rnacentral:sRNA from 1 species